GGAGGUGUAGCUCAGUCGGUUAGAGCGCCGCCCUGUCAAGGCGGAGGCCGCGGGUCCGAGCCCCGUCAUCUCCG
rnacentral:tRNA from 1 species